AACUUCCAGUUGCAAAUAUUUCAUGCAUGUUCAGAACGAUAAGAGGUUUGUGUAAAAUAUGACUCACUACUCACCGGUUGAACUACCCUGCAGAGUGUCAAAAGCAUUGCGUAAUGGCUUUGCAUUUACACCUUAACUCCACUUUUUGCGGACAUUGCAUUCAUACAAUGGUGAUUGUGGACAACAGAAGUCAUACAAGAUUUAUUCGAAGUGGUUUCAUAUAUAGGACACCAAAAUGAUGC
rnacentral:lncRNA from 1 species